GACGAACCACACGAACGUUAUUCGGAAUUACUGGGCUUAAAGGGUGCGUAGGCUGUGCGGAAAGUUAGGUGUGAAAUCCCCCGGCUCAACCGGGGAAUUGCGCUUAAAACUACCGUGCUAGAGGAAUACAGAGGUGAGCGGAACUUCGGGUGGAGCGGUGAAAUGCGUUGAUAUCCGAAGGAACACCGGUGACGAAAGCGGCUCACUGGGUAUUUUCUGACGCUGAUGCACGAAAGCUAGGGGAGCAAACGGG
rnacentral:rRNA from 1 species